rnacentral:rRNA from 1 species
AACGAACGCUGGCGGCGCGCCUAAUACAUGCAAGUCGAGCGAGAAGACGUAGCAAUACGUUUGUAAAGCGGCGAACGGGUGAGGAAUACAUGGGUAACCUACCCUCGAGUGGGGAAUAACUAGCCGAAAGGUUAGCUAAUACCGCGUACGCUCCUUGGACUUCGGUUCAGGGAGGAAAGCGAUACCGUGGGUAUCGCGCUCUUGGAUGGGCUCAUGUCCUAUCAGCUUGUUGGUGAGGUAACGGCUCACCAAGGCUUCGACGGGUAGCUGGUCUGAGAGGACGAUCAGCCACACUGGCACUGCGACACGGGCCAGACUCCUACGGGAGGCAGCAGUAAGGAAUAUUGCGCAAUGGGCGAAAGCCUGACGCAGCGACGCCGCGGUGGGGGAU